rnacentral:rRNA from 13 species
UUUCCAGAGAUGGAUUGGUGCCUUCGGGAACUCUGACACAGGUGCUGCAUGGCUGUCGUCAGCUCGUGUCGUGAGAUGUUGGGUUAAGUCCCGCAACGAGCGCAACCCUCGUCCACUGUUGCCAGCAAUUCGGUUGGGGACUCAGUGGAGACCGCCGGGGUCAACUCGGAGGAAGGUGGGGAUGACGUCAAGUCAUCAUGCCCCUUAUGUCCAGGGCUUCACGCAUGCUACAAUGGCCGGUACAGUGAGUUGCGACAUCGUAAGGUGGAGCGAAUCUCAAAAAGCCGGUCUCAGUUCGGAUUGGGGUCUGCAACUCGACCCCAUGAAGUCGGAAUCGCUAGUAAUCGCGGAACAGCAUGCCGCGGUGAAUACGUUCCCGGGCCUUGUACACACCGCCCGUCACACCAUGGGAGUUGGAUCUACCCGAAGAUUGUGAGCUAACUUCGGAGGCAGCAAGCCACGGUAGGUUCAGCGACUGGGGUGAAGUCGUAACAAGGUAGCCGUAGGGGAACCUGCGGCUGGAUCACCUCCUU